rnacentral:sRNA from 1 species
CCCUAGCCCAGAUAGCAGUGGAAAUCCUUUUGCUUUUUUCUUUAAAAAGCAAAAGAUUGAAACGUAAAGCUGGAAAUAGC